rnacentral:rRNA from 1 species
AUGAACGCUAGCUACAGGCUUAACACAUGCAAGUCGAGGGGCAGCAUGAACUUAGCUUGCUAAGUUUGAUGGCGACCGGCGCACGGGUGAGUAACACGUAUCCAACCUGCCGAUGACUCGGGGAUAGCCUUUCGAAAGAAAGAUUAAUACCCGAUGGCAUAGUUCUUCCGCAUGGUAGAACUAUUAAAGAAUUUCGGUCAUCGAUGGGGAUGCGUUCCAUUAGGUUGUUGGCGGGGUAACGGCCCACCAAGCCUUCGAUGGAUAGGGGUUCUGAGAGGAAGGUCCCCCACAUUGGAACUGAGACACGGUCCAAACUCCUACGGGAGGCAGCAGUGAGGAAUAUUGGUCAAUGGACGAGAGUCUGAACCAGCCAAGUAGCGUGAAGGAUGACUGCCCUAUGGGUUGUAAACUUCUUUUAUACGGGAAUAAAGUGGGGCACGUGUGCCUUUUUGUAUGUACCGUAUGAAUAAGGAUCGGCUAACUCCGUGCCAGCAGCCGCGGUAAUACGGAGGAUCCGAGCGUUAUCCGGAUUUAUUGGGUUUAAAGGGAGCGUAGGCGGACGCUUAAGUCAGUUGUGAAAGUUUGCGGCUCAACCGUAAAAUUGCAGUUGAUACUGGGUGUCUUGAGUACAGUAGAGGCAGGCGGAAUUCGUGGUGUAGCGGUGAAAUGCUUAGAUAUCACGAAGAACUCCGAUUGCGAAGGCAGCCUGCUGGACUGUAACUGACGCUGAUGCUCGAAAGUGUGGGUAUCAAACAGGAUUAGAUACCCUGGUAGUCCACACAGUAAACGAUGAAUACUCGCUGUUUGCGAUAUACAGUAAGCGGCCAAGCGAAAGCGUUAAGUAUUCCACCUGGGGAGUACGAUCGCAAGGUUGAAACUCAAAGGAAUUGACGGGGGCCCGCACAAGCAGUGGAGUAUGUGGUUUAAUUCGACGCAACGCGAAGAACCUUACCAGGUCUUGACAUCGAGUGACCGCCUAAGAGAUUAGGCUUUCCCUUCGGGGACACAAAGACAGGUGGUGCAUGGUUGUCGUCAGCUCGUGUCGUGAGAUGUUGGGUUAAGUCCCGCAACGAGCGCAACCCCUAUUGUUAGUUGCUACGCAAGAGCACUCUAGCGAGACUGCCGUUGACAAAACGGAGGAAGGUGGGGAUGACGUCAAAUCAGCACGGCCCUUACGUCCGGGGCUACACACGUGUUACAAUGGGGGGUACAGAAGGCAGCUACACGGCGACGUGAUGCUAAUCCCUAAAGCCUCUCUCAGUUCGGAUUGGAGUCUGCAACCCGACUCCAUGAAGCUGGAUUCGCUAGUAAUCGCGCAUCAGCCACGGCGCGGUGAAUACGUUCCCGGGCCUUGUACACACCGCCCGUCAAGCCAUGAAAGCCGGGGGUACCUGAAGUGCGUAACCGCAAGGAGCGCCCUAGGGUAAAACUGGUGAUUGGGGCU